CGUCGUAAGGACUAAGAAAUGAGAGAAGAGGAACGAGAAACACACAGAGGCAAAGUGUCAGGCAACAGGCUCUAAUCUCUUAAUUACCAGUGAAUAGGCGCGCACCGCGUGCGGCCGUGCUAAAGACGAUGCGGGGAUUACCGGUAAUAGUACUCUCGAAAACCAUGCUCGUAUAAGGAAAACAACAAUCUUACAAGGAAACAUAUAAGAUAUCAGAGAUUUCGAGAUUACGCGCGACUAUCAGCUUUGACAUUUUGCAAACAGCCGCAGAGGGAAAUGACGAUUCAGCAGAUAUCGGGAACGUCCGACGGAUUCCUAAUUGACAGUCUCGCAGUGUGGAGCCACGAUUCGCCGACACGUCAGCUGGCUGCAAUCGUAAGCGUAAAAUAAAAUAGGACAAGCGGAAGUGCGGCAAAAUUUAUCAGAAGAAUAAGAGCGAUGCAAGAACUAUUAUUCAACAAAUAAAAUGAACGUAUCACAAGAAAUGAACGACACGAUCAUCAAACAGUUCUUCAAAAUGGUACUUCGGAAAGAAUUUUGUGAUGAAACGAUUAACGUGCUUCAUGUAGAGAGUAAUUCCAACUUAACAAAGGGAACCAACUUUCUUAGUGAUUUCUUCAAAGUGCGAAUUUCAUAUACCAUUCCAUCCAAAAGUGAUAAGAAAAUCCCCAUACAAAUCGCUGAUAUCGUCAUGAAAUCGGAGCCUAUAAGCGGCAUACAGUUGACAAUGGUUCGCGACCAAGGUUUGUUUAUAUGCGAAUUAACAAUGUUGAAAGACGUGCUGCCAAAGAUCGAGAAGCUCGUGCAGAAGCAAUUGGGACCGAAAUUAUGGUACGGAUCGCCAGAAUUUAGAAUUCUUGUUAUGGAGAAUCUAUCGGAAAGAGGAUUCGUUAUGAAAGAUCGACAAAAAGGACUGCCGAUGGAACAUUGUCUUCUUGUGAUCGAACAAUUAGCCAAACUACACGCGGGUUCCGUGGCAUUACACGAGAAGGAACCCAAGUUGAUCGAAUCAUUUAAAAACGGCGGGAUUCUGUCUGCAAAUUGUCCAGCGAGUUUUAUGCGAAUGUCGGAAGUGUCUCUGUUGAACGUGAGUAAAGCGAUUCGAGAUUGGAGGGAUCAGAAGUACGCGCACAUCGCGAAUAAAUUAGAUAGACUGGUGAAGACAUUUAGAGAUAGAUGCACCAACAUUUACAAAUACGAUACUAACGAAUUCUGUGUUUUAAAUCAUGGUGAUUGUUGGAUUAACAACAUAAUGUUCAAAGAAAAUGACAAUGGAAAACUCAGCGACGUUCUAAUGGUGGAUUAUCAAAUGUCUGUUUAUUCAUCUCCAGCUAUUGAUUUGCACUAUUUUUUAAGCAUUUGUCCGCAAAUAGAACUAAAAUUCGAGAAUGAUGAUUUCUUAUUGAAUUCAUACUUGAAAAUCUUGACGAAUACAAUGAUUUUGAUAGGCUGUGCUACAAAAGCACCUACAAUGGAAAAAUUAAAAGCAGCCCUGCAUAAGAGACGAAUAUGCGCUGUGUUUGCAGGUGUUAUACUUAACUUGAGAAUGAUGGCCGAUGCGAAAGAUACUGAAGAUUUCGCGGUUUUGUUAGAAAAGUUGCAGGGAGAGACAAAGAUGGACGUAUUUAAGAAUCCAGAUACAGUGAUAUUAGCUCAAAAGAUGAUUCCUAUUAUGGAUCAAAGAGGCUAUUUCGAUUAGCUAAUCGAAAUAGCCUCUUCGAAAAGUAGCGUAUUCAGUAAUUAUUAACGUGUAAUUUUAUCUUAUUAUUAAUAUGCAGUUUUUUAUUUUUAUUAAACAAAGAAUAAAUGUAGCAUGCAUCUAAUAAAAAAUAUUUAAAUUGUAUUUAUUACAUAUAUAUGUAUAUAAUAAACAGAUAACUAACUAUUUAUUAUAUACAUAUAUGUAAUAAUAUAUUGUAUACAUUCUUUUCUAACAAUUUUGUUAAGAAAUAUUCCGGCAUGACGUUUAUUCUCUCUGUUGUGAUUAAAGAGAUUAAAGAGUUAAUUUCUGUAUUAAUAAUAAUAUUUUAAACUAAAUAAAAACUGUAUAAAUUAUAUUUUGUGUGUAAACCGUUCGAGACGGCGAAAAGUCAAGAUGUUAUGCAAGCACGACAAAGAUAAAGUUUCAGUCAAAAGAUUCUCGUUAAAGAAAAGAAUGAAACAUUCGCAAAAUUUCAAUAGUAAUUGAUUUAUUGUAAGGCAGUAAAACAUUUGUCCAAAAAAAAACCCCAUGUUGCUUUCGGUCACCUACCUACAUUAUGAACAGAAAGAUUGUUGUGGCAGAUCUAGACGCUGACCUGGACAAAACUAUUUGGAUGCAACUCUUGUUUUUUUCACUAAAAAAAAAAAUAUCGAUCUCUCUUAUACUCAAGACGAAAGAAUCGGUCUAUCUCUUUUUCUGUUUUUUUUUUCUUUUCUUUCUUUUUUUUUCCAAUCGUGCCCAAGUGUCUUUCCAUUUGAGAAUGAGAAAUUUAUUUGUACUCGUUAACUUAAACAUUUCGUAAAUCACCGCUCAAAAAGGGCAAAAUCAAACAAUUCAGUAGCCGAUUUUUGGUGACUUUGGUGACUCCGCAUGACACGCAAAGAAGGAGAAAAGGGGCUAAGGACCCUGCACUAGGAGAAUAAUGGUAUAUAUCCGUUCGGCAUAUCCGUAAAAUAGGUCCGGGUUAUUUGGGCCAUCAAUGCAACCGAUUUCAGUAGCAAAGCUGAAAAGUCUCACUUGAGUUAGUCCAUUAGAGAGGCAGCCGAACUCUCUUCACAACACGCGUUUAAAUGAUAUUCUCUUGUGCAUGGAUGAGAAGAAUGACAAACAAACUAAUAGACAAAAGUUUGGAAAUUAAAUAAUUUAUAAAUUAAAUAAUAAGUUCUUUUAAAUGAAUUUUAACACAAUUCCAGCUAUUUUAAUUGCAGAAUAAAAGUUUUCACAUUUCUGUCGCGAAGAUUAUGAAAAAUUUCAAGAAUUUUAAAAGUAUGGCACAAAGAUAGUACUGGCUCAGACUUGCGUGUUAAAAUAUAACUCCUAUUUGGGGUCAUGACAAUUUUUAUAUUAUAAUGUAUACGUAAUAUUCUUAGAGGAAGAAAAGAUAUGGAUAUAUAUAUACAUAUAUAUUAUAUAAUGUGUAUGUGUAAAAUCUAAACACCUGUAAAAUGGUUCUACACAUUAAUACCACUCACCCAACGAAUCUGUCAACGUCUACCAUCCUGAAUAAUGCCUUUUCUCGCGGUGUUCUGGAAGAAAUAGCGACAAGACUGCUGGCAGCUUCCGUGGCUUAUAA